AAUGGAGGAAACUCUGAACCAGCCAUCCCGCGUGCAGGAAGAAUGCCCUAUGGGUUGUAAACUGCUUUUAUCUGGGAAGAAAAGCCGGCAUUUAUGUUGGUCUGACGGUACCAGAGGAAUAAGCACCGGCUAACUCCGUGCCAGCAGCCGCGGUAAUACGGAGGGUGCAAGCGUUAUCCGGAAUUACUGGGUUUAAAGGGUGCGUAGGCGGCGCUGUAAGUCAGUGGUGAAAGGUUCCGGCUUAACCGGAGAAUGGCCUUUGAUACUGCAGUGCUAGGAUUGGGUUGAGGUUGGCGGAAUGUGACAUGUAGCGGUGAAAUGCAUAGAUAUGUCAUAGAACACCGAUUGCGAAGGCAGCUGACUGGACCUUGAUUGACGCUGAGGCACGAAAGCGUGGGGAGCGAA
rnacentral:rRNA from 1 species